rnacentral:rRNA from 1 species
AAAGUGAAUAGUGAAAUCCGGGGGCUCAACCUCACGGGCUAUUAUUCAAACUCACUGACUCGAGAGUAGCAGAGGUAACUGGAAUUUCUGAAGUAGGGGUAAUAUCCGUAGAUAUCAGAAGGAACACCAAUGGCGUAGGCAGGUUACUGGGCUAUUUCUGACACUGAGGCACGAAAGCGUGGGGAGCGAACCGGAUUAGAUACCCGGGUAGUCCACGCCGUAAACGAUGGAUACUA